UACAGAGGGGCAAGCGUUGUUCGGAAUUACUGGGCGUAAAGGGCGCGUAGGCGGCCCGCUAAGUCGAACGUGAAAUCCCCGAGCUCAACUCGGGAACUGCGUCCGAUACUGGUGGGCUUGAAUCCGGGAGAGGGAUGCGGAAUUCCAGGUGUAGCGGUGAAAUGCGUAGAUAUCGGGAGGAACACCAGUGGCGAAGGCGACUACCUGGCCUGUUUCUUGACGCUGAGGCGCGAAAGCUAGGGGAGCAAACGGG
rnacentral:rRNA from 1 species